AUGUGGGAAAGCACUGCUGUGCUCCCCCGAAGGCCAGCUCCCUCCCUUGUCUGUGAGGAGGAGGAACAUUGGACACAACAGGAAGCACCUGACCCAGGGCUUAUUGAUGGUUCUAUGACCUUCAUGUGCCUCCUGAAUUCCUCUGCCACUGGCCUGACGUGUGGCUGCCAUGCCGAGGAGUGGCCUGUGGAAGCUGGGGGACCCCAGGUGAAUCAUUUCACUUUAUCUGUGAGGAGGAACCAAGGAUAACUCCGGCAGAAAGCCUGGUCUCUCCAGCCCUCUCUGUAAGCAUGAGGAGCCACACAUUCCAUCUCUACCUGUGUCCAGAAAGAGGUGAGUGUUUCCUUGGCACCUGUCCUGGAGAAUCUCAGGGGAAGUGCUUCCUGACACCUAUCCCAAGGGCACAUGCUGCAAUGUCAGCUCUGGCUUUUGUGUUUCACCUCAGUGGAAGUGAGACCUAGGGACCCUGCUCCAUGGAGGGGCUGAUGACAUGAAAAGGCUUGUGAGAAGCUGGGUGCAUCCUGGCACUGUCAUAGACUCACUGUGUGCCUUGAGCAAGACACUGGCCCUCUCUGCACAUGCCCCCUCUGUAAAAUGCGGGAGCAGGGCUUGGCCUGCCUCUCCUCCAUGUACCCUCCCCCACCCACAGCGGAUGUGGCGUGUGGAAGGGGCAGGGACUCCUGCCCUUUCCUACUGAGGAACUGAUCUGUUUCUCUUCUGGUUGAGGAUGUGGGAACUGAGCAGAGUGGUGAUAGGAGUGGAGAGGAAGUUGCUGAUGAGGGUGGGCGACUGUGCCUCAAAGCUAUUUCCCCUCCCCCACCAAAAUCCUCCUUGUCCCCUUCCCCAUCAACCACAGGGAAGAGUCUAGGUGUUUCCAAGGAUGGUCUGGGAAGACUUAGGUCAUUGUGAGGUCAGGGGCAUCCCUGGUGGGAUAUCAGACUGUGCGUGGUGUCUCCCUCUGAAGAGAGUCCUCCAUUUUUUAUUUUUACUUUAUUACUCAAUGUGAAGAGUGUCCUCUAAAUACUAGUCUGUCUCCCAAAAAUGAGGGUGGGAGUAUUCAGAGAUCACCUAGUUUAAAUUCUUCAUCUUGCUUCUACAGAAAGAGAAACUGGAGUUCCUGUCAUGGCUCAGUGGUUAACUAACCUGACUAGUAUCCAUGAGGAUGCGGGUUCGAUCCCUGACUUUCCUUAGUGGGUCAAAGAUCCAGCAUUGCCAUGAGCUGUGGUGUAGGUCACAGACACGGCUCGGA
rnacentral:lncRNA from 1 species